rnacentral:lncRNA from 1 species
AUGAAAUGUUAUGUAAGUUGUAAAUAUAUUGUUUUUAUCAGUGACUCGUUCUUCAAAAAGGUCUGGGGUAUGCAUUUCGACUUAUACUGGAGGAAAACAUUGAGGUCUUCAUUGUUGUGUUUUGCUCCUCUUGUCCACAGACAAGGUAGGGAAAGUCUGCCAUUACUGAAUAUAUUCAAUACUACCUUGAAAGAAGAAAUGAGGUGCUCACGGGAAAAGAGUCAAAUAUAUGAUUGUUGCUUAAUUUAACCUUGGUGGUCAUUUUCAUAGCCAGUAUAAAUUGACAGAGCCUCAGUAUUUCAAAGAGACUGUACCUUUUUUUUUUUUUUUUUCUUCUAAGACCUCUAAUGGUAUUGGAAGCUAACUCUGCCAUGGAAAAGGUGUGCUUACAAAUAUUUUUUCUUGAGUUUUAGGCAAAGUUUAAAUAUCUUUUAUCCUAAAGAUAUUAUUAUAUUUUCACACAGAAAUUAGCAAAUUUCGCAUGCAAAAUACCAAAUAGUCAUUGGAGAAAAAGUGAAUAUGAGAGACCAUAGCAUCUAGAAUAAUCCCUAGUUUAAAGAAAAGGUAAAUGUAAUGUCAUGUAUUUAAAAUGUCUAUUUACGUGUUUCAUCACAUUACAAAAUGAAGAUGCAACUCAAAACCAUGCAUUCCUAAUGUUUUUUACAUAGUCAACGGAACUGAUAACCCAUCCUGAGUUUAGAAACAAGGAAACAAAAUAAGGAAACUCCCCAUCCUAAAAGUAUCAUUUGAUGUGAUAGACUUCACUUUUAAAAUGCAAAUACCCUGAAGAUGUUAUGCCAUUACUUAUUAGCAAUUUCUGGGGCCAUAUUAAUUGAUAAUUUGUUUGUUUUGCAUUGAGCUUCAAACAGUAGCAUCAAUCAAAGGGCAAGACUAAUGCUUGAAGGAGAAGUAGGGCAAGAGGGGAAAACCUGGACUUAAAGGAAGGCUGUUAUGAAACACAAUAGUCAGCUCUGGAUACUUUGCACGUGGCAUGAGGAUAUUAGCUACCUAGAGAUUAAGACAAGAAUGAUGUCAGAAAGUGAAAGAGCAGAAAGAAGCAGGGCACACCCCAAGAACUUAUUUUGUUACUUUUGUAAAUACAACUGAACCAGUCAGAGCCACUACCCAGAUUUACUAUAUAUCCAUAGCAGUAAAAAUAAAAACAAAAAAUAAUAAAUAUUGAAUCAACACAUCAUAUUUAUAUAUGUACUUAUUUAUCAAUAUCUGUGUAUAAUCCUUCCUAUAGUGAAUAAUUUGGAAUUCAGUGGCUUUGGGGAUGGACUAAGGAAUCAAAGAACAGCCAAAAAUCCUAGCUCUAAUUAUUUGUAGCCGAUUGUUCUUGUAUGAGAUAUACAAUCUUUUUAAACCUAAGUUUUUAAAAAUUUGGCUUGUAAAAUGAGGAUGAUAAUACUACCUAAAUUAUUGACUAGCUGAAAGGUGAAAUGGCAUAUCCCAUGCAAACUGCUUAGCACACGACUUGCUCAGUAUAAAUAUUCAGUGAAGGCUGCUUAUUUUGUUAUAGGUCAGCAAGAGUUCUGCUUGUCUCUGGAACACAUUGGUAAAGGCUGAAAACAUGCUUAAAAGUAUAGUUAUUAAGACAGAGUUGGUCUUCGCCUUGCCCAUGCACACUGUUACCACCACCACACAAACCACUAAGAUUCUAAAAGGAGAAAGCAAAAAAAGCAAGUCCCAUCAGGCUUUCUGUUCUAUUUUUCUAACUCAUGAUUACGAGAGAUGAAGCCCAUGUAAUUUAUUUGCAUUUAUUUAUUUCACUGUUUGACACUAUGUUUAGUUCCUUUUCUGUUAAUUUAUUGUUUGCUGCUGGUCCCCAUGGAACCCUUAGGACACACUUCAAAAUGAAAUAUUUUUUAUCCCUAUAAAAUAUUUUAAUGAGUUAAAAUCCUAAAAGUGCUUGAUGAUGACCAACAGCACUAUCUUAUACAAUGGAAAAGAGUUUCUAGAGGGCACAAAACUGUGAUAAAGAAUCAGCAAAAAUGAUACCCUAGCUCAUAUAUUUUAGACGAGAUGACUGUAACAUCAGGAAAUAUAACAUAAAAAUUUAAUGUCUAUGCCUGAAAAUAUUAUCUUGCUUAUCCACUGCCUUUAUAUAUGGAUACAGGUAGGCCUUUUAAAAUUAGUGUUUUUAUUUUGUCUUAAGAGAGGAUGCUGCAUUUGCAGCAUCUCUCCCCAGAGUCUCUUUUUCAUUAAUACUAAAUAUUAUGCUUGCUAAAUUUGUAUUGUGAACACAAACUUGUAUCCCAUCUACUCUAAUGUAGAACUCCAUUAAACAGUAAAGGUUUUAUAGAGGGUUUAUAUCACUCUCUUACUACUGUCCCAAAUUAAAUAUCAAAUAUUUUAAUAACUGUCAUAGACUUUAUUCCAAACAAGGCCAAAAUCUAGAGAUCACCUCUUGCAGUCUAGAAAGUACAAUCAGGAGAGAGUCUGUCCCAUCAAACCAUUACCCCUUUACCACUUAAGUUCUCCUGAGGAGGGACUUUUUGCAUUAAGGAUACAUCUAGCUAAUCUCUUUCCAAACCUUUAUUCACUUAUUCAAUUAGAAAAUGUAUGGGAAAACCUGGGCAUCUAGGCUCAGCCCCAGACUGUCCUCCUCUUUAAUUUGUUUUCCUCUAGCAGCAGUCAUCCCCACCUCGUUGCCUAGUACUGAAGUUCAGUGUUAGGAAGUCCAUUGAUCUCUUACCUAAACCUGCACUCUCUAACAUCUGUUUAAUCCAUGUGAAAGUUGAUAUUUUCACCUUUAUAUUAUUUCCUAAAUUCUUCAGGACUUAGGCAAGAAGUGUGCUCUUUAGCAGCUCCAUUGGAGACCUCAAAAAAGCUAGUGAGGUGCAGUGAGAGAGGUGAGGCACUGGGGCACAGAGGGACUGGUGAGUGAAGCUAUGAUGGAGCCCAAGAAAUGAGGCCCAAGAACAAAAGAGAAGCAAAACUGAUGGAAUUAUAAUGCACAGUUGGAACCUGGUCAAAAGAAACUUAGGACACUUAUCACUGCAUCACGAAAUUAGUGUAUUAAGUUGGAGUGGGUCAUCCAAAAGAUUAACAACACAAUGAGCAAAAUGGCCAUUUUAAUGAUAACCAUCAACACACCCACUAACACUAGCACUUAUUGAGCAAUUAGUGUGUGUGGAGCACUAGGUUAAGAGCUUUAAUGCAUUAAUACAUUUAAUCCUUAAGCCACCCUGAUAGUUAGGUACUUAGCUCUUAGCCAUUACUGAUCAAGGAUUUAUUAAAUUAGCCCCAGGUCAGAGCAGAGCUAGCUGAGAAUCUAGAAAAAUGUUAAACAUACAGGUAGGAGGUAAGUGGCCAUAAUUUUAAAGGUUACAGGCGUGACUCAUUAUGGUUAAUAAUUCUUUGUGGACUACAAAGGUAGAAGCCCCUUGUGAAUUAUAGAACCACACAUGCUAAAUUGUGAAGAGACCUCGUGUGCUCUUCUGACUUACUCUUUGAUCUUUAGACAUUAUCUCCACUUUGCAGAGGAAAAAAUCUGAGGCACAGAGAGGUUAAGUGACUUGUUGAAGAUCAUACAGUAACACUGAUGAAAACUAUAAAAUCAUACCUUAUUAAGUCUUGGAAACCUAUUGAUAACCUUUUGAGUAACAACUAUUUGAAGAGCCAAAUUAAUCUUUUCUAGAAUGUGCACUAUUCAUGGGUUUUUUCUUCCCCCCACUAGAGUUCAGACACUUGGAGCUUGCUGCUUAAAAUAACUACCUCCCACACCCACCCUGUUCAGCAUGAUGACUGCUGGAUCCAUUUGCAGUCCGUAUUUCCCUAGGAGGUGCGAACUCCUGCAGCUUUCCUCUCUGUGAACUGAAGUCUCCAUCUAUACAAUUUCACUGCUCAUAAAGACGAGCAAAAAGGAGAGCACAAACGAAUCCAAUUUAUCCAUUUUUUGGUAUCUAGAGUACAUGUGGAGUCAAAAUUGGUGGUUUGCCUCAGCUCUACCUGCUAGGAUAAUUUGGGGUGAUACUGCAUCUAAAUAUUAUGUUUAAACCAUGCCAGUCACACUGUGCAUUUUAAAGAUCACAUUACAAAUCGCAUUACCUUUCUAAGAUAUCUGAGAAUAUGAGUAAAUUUCAAAGAAAAAUG